rnacentral:rRNA from 1 species
GACGAACGCUGGCGGCGUGCUUAACACAUGCAAGUCGAACGGAAAGGCCCUGCUUUUGUGGGGUGCUCGAGUGGCGAACGGGUGAGUAACACGUGAGUAACCUGCCCUUGACUUUGGGAUAACUUCAGGAAACUGGGGCUAAUACCGGAUAGGAGCUCCUGCUGCAUGGUGGGGGUUGGAAAGUUUCGGCGGGUGGGGAUGGACUCGCGGCUUAUCAGCUUGUUGGUGGGGUAGUGGCUUACCAAGGCUGUGACGGGUAGCCGGCCUGAGAGGGUGACCGGCCACAUGGGGACUGAGAUACGGCCCAGACUCCUACGGGAGGCAGCAGUGGGGAAUAUUGCACAAUGGGCGGAAGCCUGAUGCAGCAACGCCGCGUGCGGGAUGACGGCCUUCGGGUUGUAAACCGCUUUCGCCUGUGACGAAGCGUGAGUGACGGUAAUGGGUAAAGAAGCACCGGCUAACUACGUG